rnacentral:rRNA from 1 species
GACGGGGGGUCCUAGCGUUGUUCGGAAUCAUUGGGCGUAAAGCGUGUGCAGGUGGUUUGGUAAGUUGGAUGUGAAAGCCUUGGGCUUAACCCAAGAAGGGCAUUCAAACUACCAAACUUGAGUAAGGAAGAGGGUCGUGGAAUUCCAGGUGUAGUGGUGAAAUACGUAGAUAUCUGGAGGAACACCGGUGGCGAAGGCGGC